GCCUCGCGUAUGCAGCGCCCCCCGAAUUGUGGUCUAGAGAGGCGUCAUCGGCCGCGCCCGCCGCUCAAGUCCCUUGGAACAGGGUGUCGGAGAGGGUGAGAAUCCCGUACCGUGGCGGGUUGCGGCCUUGCGAUGCGUCCUCGUCGAGUCGGGUUGCUUGGGAUUGCAGCUUGAAUUGGGUGGUAAAUUCCAUCUAAAGCUAAAUACUGGCGAGAGACCGAUAGCGAACAAGUACCGUGAGGGAAAGAUGCAAAGAACUUUGAAAAGAGAGUCAAAGAGUGCUUGAAAUCGGUAGGAGGAAACCCGGAUGGGCCCGGCUUCGGCGCGCCGACUCAGCCUGGGGUUCUCCCCAGGUGCACUUUUGCGCGCCGGGUGAGCCGCGCCUCGGCGCCGCGCCUCAACCCGGGAGCGGGGCUUUACGGCCAGCUCCCGUCCUGGCGCGGCCCGGG
rnacentral:rRNA from 3 species